GGGAUAGCAUUAGGACAAAUACUUCAUGCAAGCAGGGCUUAAACCCUAGAUGAUGGGUGGACAGGUGCAGAAAACCACCAUGGCACAUGUAUACCUAUGUAACAGACCUGCACAUGUAUCCAAGAACUUAAAAAUUUAAAAAUAAAAAAUAGGGAGUAGAGUUUGGUAAGACAAUGUGAUAAUUUUACAAACACAAAACAUGUCAUACCCACUUCCCCACCUCCCUCAAGUGCUUUCAACAGCAUCCUAUUGCUGUUAUUAAGAGAAUAAAGCAUCUACCAUCAUCUCCCAGCCCCUGCCUGCCUUCCUUCAUUCUUGUCUUGUGCCACUUUCUCCCGUGUUUACUUCCUUGAACGUGCCUGUUUCCUGCUGCAAGAGGCAUUCUGCACGCACCCCCAUCUCUGUUUAGACCGUGCUGUCCCUACACUUCACCCCCCUCAACAAUCAACCUCUACUUCUCUCCAGACUGCAAGGGGAUCAUACCUUCCAGAAUGCAUCGGUUUUCUACCUCUCAUCCCAAGAUACGCCAGAUUCGUUUACAGCAUAAAUUUAGAGAAUCCCGCUUCCCUUUCUUUGGUGUGCUUCUCUCAAUUCUUCAUCAGAAACCCAUUAGAGUGAUUGUCACAUUAGUGCCCAUUCUCCCCAUCAGGCCGCAGGUUCGUGAGAGCAGGGGCCACGGUCAUGUUGGUGAACCACAGUAUUCUCAGUGACUAUCCAUGUGCUUAGAAAGUAUUUGCUGAAUGAGUAAAUGGGUCUGCAGUUCCAACCAAAGCUAGAAGCUUGACUUUGGAAGAAUGAAAGUAGAUAACAUCUCCAAAGCAGACCCCAUAGCAUGAGAAAAGAAGGGAAGAAGGGAAGAAUGGAGGCAGAGCUGAAGGAUGAAUAUCGGCACAGGAGUAGGGACAGAGGUGGUGCAUUGGACACACUACUAACCAGCAUACUCUCUCGGACUUGCAAGAAAAUGUAGAGAAAACAAUGUAGAAAUGAUAUCUCAGAAGAAAAAAAUAUCAAAAAUAUGAGAAUAAAUGUGGGAAAACAAAAUCAAUGUUGAAAGACAACUUCUCAACAUAUUUAGGUAUCUCUGGGACCUAAAAUGUCAUCAGGACUCCCCACACUUCUUUUUUUUUACAUUGCUCUGCGUGUGUGUGUGUGUGUGUGUGUGUGUGUGUGUGUAUUCAACAGAAAUCUACAAAAAAAAAAAAAGAAUGCUAUUGCUAGAAUAAUGCUACUACAGGGGAGAAAAAUGUAAUCUUUUCUUCCACCCAUCUUAGCUUCAUUGGCUGGGGUUCCUAUAACAAAAGACAGAUGAACCCCCAAAAAAGCAAACGGAGGCUUAUUAGCAUGUGUAUUUCAUAUAUACAUGGGAGAUACACAGGGAAUGAGGGAAUCUCAAAGAGACAGCUCAGACCUUUCUUUUAUAUAACAUCUUCAACAAGGAUAAUAAUGUUUAUAGAAGUGCCAAGACAAAGUAAAAGGACUUUGGGUCAUUGGGGGCAACAAAUUGUGGGAAGGCCAAUAAAUGAUAGAUUUUUGUGUAAA